rnacentral:rRNA from 1 species
AGUCGAGGGGCAGCGGGAUUGAAGCUUGCUUCAAUUGCCGGCGACCGGCGCACGGGUGAGUAACGCGUAUCCAACCUUCCGUACACCCAGGGAUAGCCUUUCGAAAGAAAGAUUAAUACCUGAUGGUAUGAUGAGAUUGCAUGAUAGCAUCAUUAAAGAUUCAUCGGUGUACGAUGGGGAUGCGUUCCAUUAGGUAGUAGGCGGGGUAACGGCCCACCUAGCCUACGAUGGAUAGGGGUUCUGAGAGGAAGGUCCCCCACAUUGGAACUGAGACACGGUCCAAACUCCUACGGGAGGCAGCAGUGAGGAAUAUUGGUCAAUGGACGAGAGUCUGGACCAGCCAAGUAGCGUGAAGGAUGAAGGUCCUACGGAUUGUAAACUUCUUUUAUAAGGGAAUAAAACCUCCCACGUGUGGGAGCUUGUAUGUACCUUAUGAAUAAGCAUCGGCUAACUCCGUGCCAGCAGCCGCGGUAAUACGGAGGAUGCGAGCGUUAUCCGGAUUUAUUGGGUUUAAAGGGAGCGCAGACGGGUCGUUAAGUCAGCUGUGAAAGUUUGGGGCUCAACCUUAAAAUUGCAGUUGAUACUGGCGUCCUUGAGUGCGGUUGAGGUGUGCGGAAUUCGUGGUGU